GACGAACGCUGGCGGCGUGCCUAAUACAUUGCAAGUGGAACGCAUGAUUGAUACCGGAGCUUGCUCCACCAUUAAUCAUGAGUCGCGAACGGGUGAGUAACGCGUAGGUAACCUACCUCAUAGCGGGGGAUAACUAUUGGAAACGAUAGCUAAUACCGCAUAACAGUCUUUAACCCAUGUUAGAGAUUUGAAAGGGGCAAGAGCUUCGCUCUGAGAUGGACUCGCGUCUGAUUAGAUA
rnacentral:rRNA from 1 species